UAGUUAUUACUUCUAAUGGUCUCAAUA
rnacentral:sRNA from 1 species